AUUGAACGCUGGCGGCAGGCCUAACACAUGCAAGUCGAACGAGUGGCGGACGGGUGAGUAAUGUCUGGGAAACUGCCUGCUGGUGGGGGUUAACUACUGGAAACGGUAGCUAUUACCGCAUACCAUCGGAUGUGCCCAGAUGGGAUUAGCUAGUAGGUGGGGUAAAGGCUCACCUAGGCGACGAUCCCUAGCUGGUCUGAGAGGAUGAACAGCGACACUGGAACUGAGACACGGUCCAGACGCCUACGAGAGGCAGCAGUGGGGAAUAUGGCACAAUGGGCGCAAGCCUGAUGCAGCCAAGCCGCGUGUAUGAAGAAGGCCUUCGAGUUGUAAAGUACUUUCAGCGGGGAGGCGUUACCCGCAGAAGAAGCACCGGCUAACUCCGUGCCAGCAGCCGCGGUAAUUC
rnacentral:rRNA from 1 species